rnacentral:lncRNA from 1 species
GGGGGGGGGGGGCUGGGGGGUGGUGUGACACUUCCAGUUUUAAUUCUUUGAGGGACCCAGGGCAGUUGUCUUAGCAGUGAACAGCCUCCCCGUCCCCCCACAUCCUGCUGACACGUAUCUUCUGGGUUUGGGUGGUCGCCAUCCUGGUGGGUGUGUGGUGACUCGCUGUGGUUGAGAUGGCAUGUCCCUGUGGCUGGGGACGUGCAGCUGGGUGGCCCUCUCCGUAUCUGGUGCUCCUUUGUGGACUGUCUUUGGGGAAAUGUCCUCCCAAGUCUGUGGCCCGUCUUUGACUGAGGUAUUUCAUUCCUGGCUGUUGAGUUCUUGAUACAUUCCAGUCAUCAACGCUCAUCAGACAGGUGACAGCAACCACUUCCCGCAUUCCAGAGGUCACUCUCGGGGCGCAGCCUUCGAUGACGCGAGGUUCAGGUGGGCUGUGGCCGUUUAUCUAUCCUCUCCCUUGCUGUCUGUUUUGGUGACAUGUCCGUGUGUGUGUCUGCCUGAAACACAUCACACAUCACAGAUCCACUCUCGUUAGUCUGCAGAUCAGUGUGCUAUUUGUCACACUCAAGAUCGGGCCACGGUCACCACCACCUAGUUCUGGGAUUUUCUUCAUCACUCCAGAUGGAAAUCCUUUACCCAUUGAGCAGAAACUUCCCAUUUCCCCUGCCCUACGCCCUGGAAACCACCGUUGCACUUUCUGUCCCUGUGAAUGUGCCUGUUUUGGAUAUUUUAUACAAAUGAAAUCUGUAUUAGUUAG